CCCAUGUAAACCUGGGCCAUUGGAUUAUGACAGUAUUCUGAAGGAGAGAAUCUUGUCCUUUGCUUCCAGGUGGCAGGAGAACCUUGGACAUUACAGCAGCAUUGCCUCCAAUCCAGGGAGAGGUUCAGAGGCAGCAAAAGGUACUAAGGGAAAUACAAAGCAGCAGCUGGUGCAAACAGUCAGCUGAAUUGACAUGAGCACUUUGCUACUGCUACAUCCAAAUUCACCAUCCAGUCCUCAAAUGCAAGUAACCAGGAUAAUUAAACACAGUCAACAAAAUCCUAGACUACGUUCUAAAGUGCAACCCUCCUUCAAUGAGAGUGAGACAAUGUUUGCAUCUGUCGAAGCACAGUACAGGACACCAGAGCAACCAACGCUGCGUACCUGAUUCUGCAGUAGCGGCAAUGCGGGGGAAAAAAUAUUUCUUACAGUCUUAUAUAUGGCUUAAAGACAGCUCCACCUACAUUGUCAUUUGUAGGCAGCUUCAUUAGGUUGUUAUGUAAUUUAACGUUAAAAACAGGAGAUUUGUUUAUACAGCCCCGGGAGUGUGAUAUU